rnacentral:rRNA from 1 species
CGAUGGAGCAACGCCGCGUGCAGGAUGAAGGCCUUAGGGUUGUAAACUGCUUUUGUAUGUGAAGAAUUAAGACGGUAGCAUACGAAUAAGGAUCGGCUAACUCCGUGCCAGCAGCCGCGGUCAUACGGAGGAUCCAAGCGUUACCCGGAAUUACUGGGCGUAAAGAGUUGCGUAGGUGGCAUGUCAAGUCAGGUGUGAAAUCACUCCGCUCAACGGGGUGGCUGUGCCCGAAACUGACAAGCUAGAGCAUAUGAGAGGUACCUGGAAUUUCUAGUGUAGGAGUGAAAUCCGUAGAUAUUAGAAGGAACACCAAUGGCGUAGGCAGGGUACUGGCAUAUUGCUGACACUAAGGCACGAAAGCGUGGGGAGCGAACGGGAUUAGAUACCCCGGUAGUCCACGCCGUAAACGAUGAAUGCUAGCUGUUUGAGGUAUCGACCCCUUGAGUAGCAAAGCUAACGCGUUAAGCAUUCCGCCUGGGGAGUACGGUCGCAAGAUUA